CCCCCGGGCUCCCGGCGCACAUUCUCCCCAGGCGCAGCAUCCCGACGUAGGCUGCAGUGGCUCGCAUCGCCCAGCGUCCCGGCCCGAGUAAACUUUUAAAGUAGUGCCUUCCCUCAUGGUCUUGGUAUGCCUUUGAUGAGCAAGGAAAGCCUUUCUCUGGAAACCCCCAGCAGACUGCCCUCAGGCUCCUCUGCUAUCACUGCUACGCAUGCCAGCAACUAAUGCCAAGCGGGACAUAGUGCUAUGGGCAUCAGCAGAACAGCUCACUUUUGGUCAGCGUGAUCAGUUUGUUUUUUCCAGAAUCGAAGCUGUAAAACGACAAAUGGUUCUUCAAAUGGAGCCUCCAAUGCAGUCCAUGGCUGAGAUCUACUGCGGACCCCUGGACCGGCCUGCUAGUCCAUGCUCUGAUGUUGGUGACAUCGAAGGCACCCCUCCCGAGGAAAUCUCAACUGCAUGACCCCUACUAUGCCUCAAUUCAGCAGGAAGCAGAGCAGUCGUCAGCCAACCUCCCCAACAGCACUUGGGUUUUCCUGUUGUGAGGGGGGACUGAGAGACAGGACCAGCUGGAUUUCCUAAGCCAACUAAGAAUCCCUAAGCCUAGCUGGGAAGGUGACUGCAUUCAUCUUUAAACACGGGGCCUGCAAUUUAGCUCGCACCCGAUCAAUCAGGUAGUAAAGAGAGCUCACUAAAAUGUUAAUUAAGCAAAAACAGGAGGUAAAGAAAUAGUCAAUCACCUAU